rnacentral:rRNA from 1 species
CUAAGACUGGAUAGGAAAAGUAAAGGCAUCUUUACUUUUUUAAAAGACCUUCUUUGAAGGUAUACUUAAGGAGGGGCUUGCGACACAUUAGUUAGUUGGCAGGGUAAAGGCCUACCAAGACUAUGAUGUGUAGCUGGACUGAGAGGUUGAGCAGCCACAUUGGGACUGAGACACGGCCCAAACUCCUACGGGAGGCAGCAGUAGGGAAUUUUCGGCAAUGGAGGAAACUCUGACCGAGCAACGCCGCGUGAACGAUGAAGUACCUCGGUAUGCAAAGUUCUUUUAUUAAGGAAGAAAAAAGAGUGGAAAAACUCCCUUGACGGUACUUAAUGAAUAAGCCCCGGCUAAUUAUGCGCCAGCAGCCGCGGUAAUACAUAAGGGGCGAGCGUUAUCCGGAAUUAUNGGGCGUAAAAGGUGCGUANGCGGUUUAAUAAGUCUAUAGUUUAAUUUCAGUGCUUAACGCUGUUGUGCUAUAGAAACUGUUUUACUAGAGUGAGUUAGAGGCAAGCGGAAUUCCAUGUGUAGCGGUAAAAUGCGUAAAUAUAUGGAGGAACACCAGAGGCGUAGGCGGCUUGCUGGGACUUUACUGACGCUGAGGCACGAAAGCGUGGGGAGCAAACAGGAUUAGAUACCCUGGUAGUCCACGCCGUAAACGAUGAGUACUAAGUGUCGGGUAAACCGGUACUGAAGUUAACACAUUAAGUACUCCGCCUGAGUAGUACGUACGCAAGUAUGAACUUAAAGGAAUUGACGGGACGCCGCACAAGCGGUGGAUCAUGUUGUUUAAUUCGAAGAUACACGAAAAACCUUACCAGGUCUUGACAUUUUCUUGCGAAGUUAUAGAAAUAUAAUGGAGGUUAUCAGGAAAACAGGUGGUGCAUGGUUGUCGUCAGCUCGUGUCGUGAGAUGUUAGGUUAAGUCCUAAAACGAGCGCAACCCUUGUCGUUAAUUGCCAGCAUGUAAUGAUGGGGACUUUAACGAGACUGCCAAUGAAAAAUUGGAGGAAGGUGGGGAUUACGUCAAAUCAUCAUGCCCCUUAUGAUCUGGGCUACAAACGUGAUACAAUGGUUGAUACAAAGAGUAGCUGAAACGCGAGUUCUUAGCCAAUCCCACAAAAUCAAUCUCAGUUCGGAUUGAAGUCUGCAACUCGACUUCAUGAAGUUGGAAUCGCUAGUAAUCGCGAAUCAGCAUGUCGCGGUGAAUACGUUCACGGGGUUUGUACACACCGCCCGUCA